rnacentral:rRNA from 1 species
AACGAACGCUGGCGGCGUGGCUAAGGCAUGCAAGUCGAACGGAUCUAUCCAACGGGUAACUGAAGGGUAGAUUAGUGGCGAACGGGUGAGGAAUACAUGGACAACGUACCCUGGACACGGGAGUAGCGGCGGGCCGGCCAAGGACCCGUUUACGUCGAAAGUAGCCGGUAACGUAACCCGACUGAUCCCGCCGUGACCGCCAUGGUCGGUGCGGGCGAAAGAC